AAGAGCCCUGUUUUACUCCACUUAACUGGAAGCUACUCUGGCACCCAAAGGAUGCCAUUCCUCACCAGCUCUGAGAAAGAGACAGAGGACUUUCAGUGCAUUAGGCAAUGCUCUGAGACCCACACCUUGGUUUAAUCUCCUUGGAUCCAUCUGGUAUAGUGGAUAGGGAAGAUAGAUUAGGAUAUCAUCUUCAUUUGACAUGUAGAAAAUGCAUCUACAGAAUAUAACUUUGUAAAUAAAAGCUAAUGUGAGGAUCUAUGAGAAAGGUAAUAAACCAAAGUAGGAUUCACUUGUUUAGUGUGAAUUAUACUUGGUCACUGUAUCAUCAGCACAAAUAGUUUCUCUAUAAGGAGUCUGCUAGACACUGGCUGGGCAGUGCUUACUGCAGAGACCUCAGCACCAUGCUUCAGGCCUGGGAAUGGCUUUGUCCUGUGUGUGCCCUCAGAGUGCCCUUGAGGAUGACAGGGUGUGGCAGAACAAGAGAGAAGAGAAGAGGAGAGAAGAGAGAAAAGGAGAGGAGAGGACAGGACAAAACAGGAGAAGGAGAUAAGCCAUCAAGUCGCAGAUGCUACCAUGACGCCAACCUGACACACUGGACAGGCGACUUCACUGAUGAAUUCUGGAGCCCCACUAGGGAAAGACAGAACAGGCUGGCGUAUGGAUGACUCACAUCCAGUGGAGAAGCAAUUACAGAAGCCAGACCUCCCACCUUUAGCACUGCAUAAAGAUCUUUGGUCCAUACUCCCAGAGGGGUAAAGAAUAGGGAAGCUUCCAAUGGAGGGGAUGGGAAUAUGGAAUUGUACCCCUCAAUCUUGUCGGUCAUUAUUAAAUCACUAAAAAAAAAAAAUUAGGAGUCUGGGUUUAACAGGAAAUUAAAAAGAGGGUUAAGUGUACAAAGAUGGCAGUGUGCACAGAGCAGGUCUACAUUUAUAAAACUCCCCUAGAACCAUAAGUUUAUAGGUGGAAGAUUAUUUCUUACUCUGUUGAUAACUGGCUCACAUACUGAAGCUUAGUAGGCCUGAGAAGGCAGAAUAGCAUGAGCCAGCCACCCAGCCAAACCAUUGGAACCAAAGGUUAAGCCUGCAUCAGAACUUCUUUAAGGUGUCCAUUCCAAUGUGUUUUAUCCUUAUUAUUUAAACUAUGCAAUUUGGUGGUCUCAAAACCCAUUCCUUUGAGUCUCCACUCAACCUCCUAAAGGCUGUCUGCCAACUCUGGGCUUCAAAUGAUUACUUUUUUGGGGGACUAACUUCUCCAAUAUGCCCUAUAUGUU